GUGGGGAAUUUUGCGCAAUGGGGGAAACCCUGACGCAGCAACGCCGCGUGGAGGAUGAAAUCCCUUGGGAUGUAAACUCCUUUCGAUAGGGACGAUAAUGACGGUACCUAUAGAAGAAGCCCCGGCUAACUUCGUGCCAGCAGCCGCGGUAAUACGAGGGGGGCAAGCGUUGUUCGGAAUUAUUGGGCGUAAAGGGCGCGUAGGCGGUUUGACAAGUCUGAUGUGAAAUCUAUGGGCUCAACCCAUAGCCUGCAUUAGAAACUGUCGGGCUUGAGUAUGGGAGAGGUGAGUGGAAUUUCCGGUGUAGCGGUGAAAUGCGUAGAUAUCGGAAGGAACACCUGUGGCGAAAGCGGCUCACUGGACCAUAACUGACGCUGAGGCGCGAAAGCUAGGGGAGCAAACAGGAUUAGAAACCCCAGUAGUCC
rnacentral:rRNA from 1 species